GUGAAAUUGAUCACAAACAAACAUUACCCCUUUGUUUGACCGUGAAAAAUUUCUCCCAUCCCCUUUGUUGUCGUUAAGACAUAUGAAACCGCGCUUAUCCCGGCGCGGUUUCUUU
rnacentral:sRNA from 20 species